rnacentral:rRNA from 1 species
CGACCGGCGCACGGGUGCGUAACGCGUAUGCAACCUACCAUCAACAGGGGGAUAACACUGAGAAAUUGGUACUAAUACCCCAUAAUAUCUCAUGCGGCAUCGCAUGGGGUUGAAAACUCCGGUGGUUGAUGAUGGGCAUGCGUUGUAUUAGUUGGUUGGUGAGGUAACGGCUCACCAAGGCGACGAUACAUAGGGGGACUGAGAGGUUAACCCCCCACAUUGGUACUGAGACACGGACCAAACUCCUACGGGAGGCAGCAG